rnacentral:rRNA from 1 species
CAGUCGCCGCGGGAAUACAGAGGGUGCGAGCGUUAAUCGGAUUUACUGGGCGUAAAGCGUGCGUAGGUGGUGGUUUAAGUCCGUUGUGAAAGCCCUGGGCUCAACCUGGGAAUUGCAGUGGAUACUGGGUCACUAGAGUGUGGUAGAGGAUAGUGGAAUUUCCGGUGUAGCAGUGAAAUGCGUAGAGAUCGGAAGGAACAUCUGUGGCGAAGGCGACUAUCUGGGCCAACACUGACACUGAGGCACGAAAGCGUGGGGAGCAAACAGGAUUAGAUACCCGCGUAGUCCCUGUCUCUUAUAA